UACGUAGGGUGCGAGCGUUGUCCGGAAUUACUGGGCGUAAAGAGCUCGUAGGUGGUUUGUCGCGUUGUUCGUGAAAAUCGGGGGCUUAACCCUCGGCGUGCGGGCGAUACGGGCAGACUGGAGUACUGCAGGGGAGACUGGAAUUCCUGGUGUAGCGGUGGAAUGCGCAGAUAUCAGGAGGAACACCGGUGGCGAAGGCGGGUCUCUGGGCAGUAACUGACGCUGAGGAGCGAAAGCGUGGGGAGCGAACAGG
rnacentral:rRNA from 1 species